GAUGGGUGGGUGGUAGCAGCGUGGAAGAGGCUACACGGAGGAGGCGCGAGUAAAAUCAUCUGGACGAUGACACUCGAUCUUUAUGAAUUGUUAGACAAGAGGGGAAGCACCGAGAACAGAGAGGGAGAGACGCCCAGGCUUGGAAGAAAGGGAGGCGGAAGCUUAACUAGAAAAGCAUGCUGAAUGGAUUACUGAACAGAAAAAGAAAUAAACUCCCAUUGAGACACGAUCGGCUCCUAGCCCAGAAUAAAAAGGGCUCGCUGGAAAAUGGCGAAGCUUCCGCGGCGCAUUCCAGUAGAAUCAAGUUCAGCUCUGAGAUUCUCUCCUCGUAAGAAGAGGCCAGAGUCCUGGAAUCAUGAUUCCCAGUACACUACAUCAACAUCCCUUUGAAGUUGAGACAGGUACGUUCAGGCCCGUUGAAUUCAACCCUGAAGCAGUUACUUUCCUAAGGACAAUGAUAAGGUGCAGGAAAACACAGUCUUCAGGUCAGGUGGAGCCGACAUCAGAACUUUGCCUCCAAGGGACCAAUCCUAUAGACACUGUGCUGUCAGCCAAGCACAGAAUACACUUUGCCAUUUGCUAGAUGCACUACAAGGUGUCUUUUCUCUCUCUGUGAUGCACUGUACAGACUGGAAGAUCUUCAGCAACAAACCAAGGGACAUAUCAGACAAACAAGGCAGAUGGUAGCUCUUCAACACAUCUAUCACUGUCUGGGAGAUAACUGGAAUAGGAUGCAUACUUGCCUCAUUCAGUCAUUGACAACCUCCAUGUCAGUAUUCGAUCUGGCCCACUGACAUGAUGGGACAACAUAGAACAAGGUGAAUGGACUGGAUGUAGUCAGUUGGAAGAGCAAAUUGGCUUCAUAUUCCAUCUGCUCUCCAUACUCAUACCUUUCAACACAGCUCCAGGAGGUUGCAAUUCAGAACUCUAUUGAGUCCUCUGAAAACCCAUCAAUGGACAUUUUGGGGCUCCAAUGUCUUGCUCUCACCUGGCUGAGGUGGAUCCAAAUCACAAGAUGCCCUCAAGCAAUAAGUCCUCUCAGCUUGACAUAAAGGUUGUGGUGAGGCUAACUACAACAAAAUGUAUAUAGUUUUGAAAUUACAAAUGAAAAUUUAAUUUCCCUGCAAUAAUCACCCAUGUCUAGAGUUGCCACAGCCUUCCUCUGAUCCCACACUGUCACUUUGGCAGAAUCCCUGGAGAAAUGGCUCAAAAAAACAUGGUCUUUUAAACCAUUCCUUUGGAAAUUCCACUGAUCUUCCACCCAAGUUCUGCUAGGUCUCAGGCUUGGUUCAGUGGUAGUCCUCUUACCUCUGAGUAAGAAGAUCGAGAGUUUAAGCCUCAGUUGAGGAUUUAAGUAUAUAGGUAGGGACAACAAGUGAAAUUGUAUUUAUUUUUUUGAAAAGAAAUUCCUGGACUGAUGGGAGGAAUCCCUCCCUUUCCUGCUUCCUGUGAGAACCCCAUAUUAAAUGAGCCUUCUUGUGGACCAGU